GGCUGGAACUAGAUUGAAGCUGACCCAACUACAGAUCGAGCUUUGGGCUGGAUCCAAAAUAGUUCAGAUCGGAUUUAUACCUAAUAUAGGGUUAGUUUGUCUUUUAGAUCGGACUCGGAUAUACAUUUGGCUCGCCCUGACCCCAACUUAGACCCGAGUUCGAAAUCAAGCCCAAUCAAUAGAUCGAAAGGCCGAUAGCUCAAUC
rnacentral:lncRNA from 1 species